CUACGGGACGCACCAGUGGGGAAUAUUGCACAAUGGAGGAAACUCUGAUGCAGCAACGCCGCGUGGAGGAUGACACUUUUCGGAGCGUAAACUCCUUUUAUAUAGGAAGAAGAUGACGGUACUAUAUGAAUAAGCGCCGGCUAACUCCGUGCCAGCAGCCGCGGUAAUACGGAGGGCGCAAGCGUUACUCGGAAUCACUGGGCGUAAAGAGCGUGUAGGCGGAUUAAAAAGUCAGAAGUGAAAUCCUAUAGCUUAACUAUAGAACUGCUUCUGAAACUCUUAAUCUAGAAUAUGGGAGAGGUAGAUGGAAUUUCUGGUGUAGGGGUAAUAUCCGUAGAGAUCAGAAGGAAUACCGAUUGCGAAGGCGGUCUACUAGAACAUUAUUGACGCUGAGACGCGAAAGCGUGGGGAGCAAACAGGAUUAGAUACCCCAGUAGUC
rnacentral:rRNA from 1 species